rnacentral:sRNA from 1 species
AAAAUGUCUCCUUAUCUCCAUUGUUGUCCCAUUGCAUAGAAUACCUGAAAAGACACUAAAAAGACUCGAGAAAUAACAUAAAGACUCAAAAUCCUAACCCUAAAUCAAAGAUAAAAUCAGUAAAAAUAGGGAUAUAUCAACUCCCCUAUACUUAGCUUUUGCUUGCCUUCAAGCAAAACACAAAAGCCGAACCCGUGGAAGAGGUUUUGAAAACAAAGGAACUCCCAACAUUCUCUA